ACAGAUUGCAAGAUGGCGUAAGUAACAUGAACUUUGAAGAUUUUACAGUUGAAAGCUGUCGUGCAUUCGGAUUUUCCGCAACAAGUUCACAUAAUGUAACUUUCAGUAAUCUAGAAGUUAAAAACACAGGUUGGGUUGGUAUAAGUUGUCGCGGAGAUUGUAGAAAUGUUACUGUAUCUAAAUGCGAUGUACACGACUGUGAUGGCGGUGUAAGCAUUGAAGGUGGUGAUCGACCUAAUCUAAUACCAUCUGGUAAUUUGGUUGAAGAUAACCAUAUAUGGAAAGUAGGUCGUGUAAGUGUAACCGGUGCUAUGGGUGUCAGCCAAGCAGGCGUCCAUAAUAUCAUCAGAUAUAACCAUAUUCACAACACUACGUACGCAUGUAUUUUUUGGGGCGGCAAUGAUCAUAUAAUGGAAUACAAUUAUUUUCAAGAUUGUAAUCAAAAUGCCAGUGAUGGUGGUGCUGUACAUUGUGAUCGAGAUUGGACAAUGAGAGGUAAUACCAUUCGAUAUAAUUAUUUCCACAACACACUCAGAUAUUGGCCUGGUGCUCAAGUUCGUGGUAUUAUGUUGGAUGAUGAGUUCUCUAGUGUUGCUAUAGAAAACAAUGUUUUCUCUUCG